rnacentral:rRNA from 1 species
UACGUAGGGGGCAAGCGUUGUCCGGAUUUACUGGGCGUAAAGAGCGUGUAGGCGGCCAAGCAGGUCCGUUGUGAAAACUGGAGGCUUAACCUCCAGACGUCGACGGAAACCGCGCGGCUAGAGUCCGGAAGAGGAGAGUGGAAUUCCUGGUGUAGCGGUGAAAUGCGCAGAUAUCAGGAAGAACACCAAUGGCGAAGGCAGCUCUCUGGGACGGUACUGA